CGCGCCAAACAACUGCAAGAAAAACCUCAGCCGAGUGAGACCACUGUUUUCCUAGACGAUUAGCUUUCUAGUUUUUUUCCCCAGUUUUGAUGGAAGAUUUCGUUGCUAGAAUCAUCACAAAUUAUUAUGUAUCGACGUAAACAAAUCAGAGAAAGUUUGUUCAUCAUCGAGGACCUGAAACGUUUAUAUUGCUUAGCAAAACAACAAGCGACAAUUUGCAGCAUAUAAUUUUUUUGAUCCUGGAGGACCUUGAUUGAGUCAUCCGUUAUAUGGAUGAGGUGCUUGUAACUCAGAUCGUAGGACAGUCGAGUGAGAGCAUCUCUUCAAUACUUACAGGACAUGGGAAUAAUCAAUCGACUUACACUUAUUGAAAAAUGUGGCAGUACCUUGACCACAUUGUCAAUGCAUCUGGACUAAACAACAACAGCAAGUGCUCAGUACCAAGUUCACAUGUCACAAACCUGGAACUCUACGUUGGACUUCCGAGAGUUUAGCACCGAGAAAAGUGAGAUAAGAAGGUCACUGUCUCAGACACGCUGAGUUGAGCAGUGUUUACAAGCUUGUGCUACACGUAUGGGCCCCCUACUCAAGGUCACUGUUCACGAGGCAGACCACAAACCACUUUGUGCCGGCAUGGCGAGGAACCAAAACUCUCCAUUAAAUGCCACAACAUCAUCUGAUACUCACAAUUAGGCACUCGUACAGACACAUCAAAGAACUAGUGUCUCUCAGCUUAUCACCUGGUCAUCGAAACAUGGAAGGAGGAAAAGGGGAAGACAGAAGCUCAGCUAUACACCACUUGUGUUCCAGUUAUGUGAUAAAAACCAAACUGUUUGGCAAUGAACCAAAACUCUCUGCUAAAAUACAACAGCAUCGUCUGAUACUCACAAGGCACUGGUACAGACACAUCAAGAACUAGUGUCUCUCAGCUUAUCACCUGGUCACCGAAACAUGGAAGGAGGGAAACUGGGAAGACAGAACCUCAGCUAUACACCACUUCUGUUCCAGUUAUGUGAUAAAAACCGAACUGUUUGGCACUAAACCAAAACUCUCUACUAAACUACAACAGCAUCGUCUGAUACUCUCAAGGCCCUUGUACAGAAACGUCAAAGAACCUGUCUCUCAGCUUAUCACCUGGUCACUGAAACAUGGAAGGAGGAAAAGGGGAAGACAGAAGCUCAGAUGUAUAGAUGUAGUUGCCACAGGGACAUCUGAGUACUUCAAGCUGAUCUUCUCAGUGAUUCAAGUGGACAUACAGGAUAUAAUUGACACCGAUCCUGUUUGCCACACUGGUACUUUGACAGCUUGGUUUAGCGCUGAUGACCCUAUAGACGGUACAGAAGAUGAGACUCUUGCCACAGUUGGAUUGUGAGGGGACAACAAUGAAGACGGGAACAUCACAUCUGAAGGGACAGGGUCAAACGGAGUUGUGCGUCGAACUUAGCCACAAACUGCAGAAAACGUCUCGCCACUCAUUCUACCAAGAAUUGUUAGAUGCCAGCAGCAACAGUGCAUCUUUCAACAAAAGUUGUGCAAAAGGACCUCCACUGUGCAUGCUGUUUCAGAAGAUAUGGAAUUGUUGUUCUCUGCAGUAGGUGUGAUGUUGGUUUUUUCUGGCCUACAUACUGGAGUUUGUGAGAGUGCAUCGGCAGUACGUUGAUGCUUGUGCGUCAAUUUGAGAUAAAAUUGUACAAUGCAUGGAAGCAUUUUUGUGAAGUUCAUUUGUGCUUUGUGAAGGAACUGGAGACUUAUGAUCGGUCUUUACUGCGAGGUGAAAUCCCAGAAUGGAUUUGUUGAACUUCACUUCAUGGACUUCUGUUGAUGUGUGCUUGGCACUGAGGCACACGACUUUGUAGUGUCCCCUUCUCUGACAGAUAGUACCAGUUGAGUUUGAUUACAUACCAAGUGUUCUGACACACCCUAACUAACCAAUAACUAACCCUUAUUGUAUAUGGUAACCCUAACCCUUUAUGGUAAUGGUAACCCCUAACACUUUUGGUAAUCAUAAUUUAUAAUCCUAACACUUUUGGUAAUCGUUUCCCCCUAACAAUAACCCUGUGUCAGAACAUUGGUAUGUAAUUAGAUUCAACUGGUGCUAACUGU